rnacentral:rRNA from 1 species
UUCCUCCUGGUUGAGGAGGUAAGGCCUGCUCACUGAAUUUUUAAAGAGCCGCAGUAUUCUGACUGUGCUAAGGUAGCAUAAUCAUUAGUCUUUUAAUUGGGGACUGGUAUGAAUGGCUAAACGAGAGAUCAGCUUUUUUUAUUAUACGUAAAUUGAAUUUAACUUUUUAGUGAAAAGGCUAAAAUUCACCAGAAAGACGAGAAGACCCUAUAGAGUUUUAUAUAUAAAAAACUUAUAUUUUAUUGGAUUUUUUUAGAUAUAAGUUUGUAGUGUAUUUUGUUGGGGCGACAUUAAGAUAAAAAAAACUCUUUAUAAAAAUGACUUUUAUAGAAGGAUAGUUUGACCCUCUUAAAGAGAUCAAAAGAAAAAAUUACCUUAGGGAUAACAGCGUAAUCUUUUUUGAGAGUUCUAAUCGACAAAAAGGUUUGCGACCUCGAUGUUGGACUAAAAUUUAGGCAGGGUGCAGCAGUUCUGCUUUAGGGUCUGUUCGACCCGUAAUAUUUUACAUGAUCU